GACGAACGCUGGCGGCGUGCUUAACACAUGCAAGUCGAGCGGAAAGGCCCUGCUUUUGUGGGGUGCUCGAGUGGCGAACGGGUGAGUAACACGUGAGUAACCUGCCCUUGACUUUGGGAUAACUUCAGGAAACUGGGGCUAAUACCGGAUAGGAGCUCCUGCUGCAUGGUGGGGGUUGGAAAGUUUCGGCGGUUGGGGAUGGACUCGCGGCUUAUCAGCUUGUUGGUGGGGUAGUGGCUUACCAAGGCUUUGACGGGUAGCCGGCCUGAGAGGGUGACCGGCCACAUUGGGACUGAGAUACGGCACAGACUCCUACGGGAGGCAGCAGUGGGGAAUAUUGCACAAUGGGCGGAAGCCUGAUGCAGCAACGCCGCGUGCGGGAUGACGGCCUUCGGGUUGUAAACCGCUUUCGCCUGUGACGAAGCGUGAGUGACGGUAAUGGGUAAAGAAGCACCGGCUAACUACGUG
rnacentral:rRNA from 1 species